rnacentral:rRNA from 1 species
AUUGAACGCUGGCGGCAGGCCUAACACAUGCAAGUCGAGCGAUCGGCUGGCGGGUGAGUAAUGUCUGGGAUACUGCCUGAUGGAAGGGGAUAACUACUGGAAACGGUAGCUGAUACCGCAUACCAUCAGAUGUGCCCCGAUGGGAUUAGCUAGUAGGUGGGUUAACGGCUCACCUAGGCGACGGUCCCUAGCUGGUCUGAGAGGAUGACCAGCGACACCGGAAUGGAGGCACGGUCGAGACGCCUACGGGAGGAAGAAGGGGGGAAUAUUGCACAAUGGGCGCAAGCCUGAUACAGCCAUGCUGCGGGUGUGAAGAAGGCCUUGGGGUUGUAAAGCACGGUAAGCGGGGAGGCGUUACUAUAAGAAGAAGCACCGGCUAACUACGUGCCAGCAGCCGCGGUAAUAC